CGUCGUCGCUUGUGAGCUCGACCGCUUGUUGAUGGUCUCCGAUGGCCAGACUCCGCUGUGCUCUCCAAAGCGACCCUUCCUCUCUUUUUCUCGCUUGCGUGGUUGGUUCUUGAUUGUUAGUGUUUAGAAGUCCUCCAUCCUUUUGUCCCUCCCAUCUCUUGGUUCUUGUCCCUCGCAUACUGAUUUCUUGGUUCAGUUUCGGACAUCGUAUUUCCGACUCAUUGACUCGAUCGUCGCAAAAUUUGUUUCUUUUUUUCUCUCCUUGUUGUUCUUUUACCCUUUUACUUUACAUUAGGGUUCUGAAAUCUAUAAAGAAUAUGCAAUUUAGACACAACUUUUAGCAAGAUUGGAUUUUUCGCCAUUUGUUGGAAAAAGAUAAGAUCAUGGAAGGUUCGGAAGGCAAACUGAAGGAAUUGAAUUGGGCAACUCUUCCGUCGCGAACUUCGCCAUCACCAACCACCGCUCGGCGUCGGAGGUUGAAGGGGCUGCAGAAUCCCCAUCUCUAGGCUCCAUCGACUCCUACAGCAUCACCUGACACGCGAGAGCGAGAUCUGAUAUCCCAUCGAGACAAAUCGUUCUGAUAGCAUCACAGGAAAUAAAGUAGAGAAUGAAGUCUCAAUUGCAGGUCAUUUGCAGGUUUCCCAGCACAAGUAGAUUAUCAUUCCAUCAAGUUGCUCGGGGCAGUUGAGACUGUCUUUGAGAAACUGAAGCUUAUGCUGGUUGAGCAUUCAGAGGAGCUUAAGAUUGCAUUAAACCAUGCAGGCUUUAUUGAAUCUUUUUUGUAACUUGAGUCCAAUUAUAAUAGACUUAGAUUGGCCACUUGCAUACUAAAACAGAGGUUGCUUGUAGAAUUGUCUCAAAGUCAUCUUCUUUGAUAAAUCUGUACAUGAAGUAUUCUAGCAUCAGCCUUUGAAGAGAUGAACAGAGGAUAGCUUUACUUUUA